rnacentral:lncRNA from 1 species
GUAGAGGUUAACACAGUAAAGGAGUUUAAGCAUGCGUGGGAUAGGCAUAAGGCUAUCCUAACUAUAAGAUAAGACUAGGGACUAAUGAAAGUAUUUAGAAAAUUGGGCAGACUAGAUGGGCCGAAUGGUUCUUAUCUGCCGUCACAUUCUAUGUUUCUAUGAAUCGUGACACCCAGCCAAACCCCAACAAGCUGACAGGCAGCAUCCCAGCCGGCCCC